rnacentral:rRNA from 1 species
AACAGCUAGCUUAAAGACAAACUAAAAAAACAAUAUUACUUAAUUUUUUAUGACUAUAAUACAAAAAUUAAAUCAUUCUCCUGCCUUAGUAAGGGCGACAGAAAAGGCACCACAAAGCAAUAGAGGAAGUACCGUAAGGGAACGCUGAAAUAGUAAUGAAAUAAAUCAUAUAAGCCAUAAAUAGCAGAGAUAAAAUCUCGUACCUUUUGCAUCAUGAUUUAGCCAGAAUAUCUGAGCAAAGAGAACUUUAGUUCAAUUUCCCGAAACCAAGUGAGCUACCCCGGGAUAGCCUUCUUAUUAGGGCCAACCCGUCUCUGUGGCAAAAGAGUGGGAAAAUCCCCGGGUAGAAGUGACAAACCUACCGAACUUGGUGAUAGCUGGUUACCUAGAAAAUGGAUAAGAGUUCAGCCUUACAUUCCUUACCUCCCAUUAACAAGCACCGCUUACCCAGUAAACAAGAAAAAUGUAAGAGUUAGUCAAAAGAGGAACAGCCCUUUUGACACAGGAUACAACCUGAUAAGGAGGUUAAGUGUCAUAUUAAAUAAGAUAAGCCAUUCCAGUGGGCCUAAGAGCAGCCACCUGUUAAGAAAGCGUCUAAGCUCAGGCAGUAAACAAAUCUGUUAUUACGAUAUUUCUCCAUAAAACCCCUGAUUUUACUAGGUCUUUCCAUGCUUCCAUGGAAGAGAUAAUGCUAAAAUGAGUAACAAGAAAACAUUCUCCUCGCUCAAGUGUAAGUUAGAUUGGACAAACCGCUAACAAUUAACGAACCUAAUAAAAGAAGGUAAAGUGACCUUAUAUAUAAAACAAGAAAACCUCACACAAUAAAUCGUUAACCCAACACUGGAAAGCUAAAGGAAAGACUAAAAGAGAAAGAAGGAACUCGGCAAAUACUAGCCUCGCCUGUUUACCAAAAACAUCGCCUCUUGCUAAUAAUCCUUGUAUAAGAGGUCUCGCCUGCCCAAUGACAUUAGUUGAAUGGCCGCGGUAUUUCUGACCGUGCUAAGGUAGCGUAAUCAUUUGUCUUUUAAAUUAAGACCUGUAUGAAUGGUGGAACGAGGGCUAGACUGUCUCCUUUUUCAAGUCAGUGAAAUUGAUCUGCCCGUGCAGAAGCGGACAUGAACAUACAAGACGAGAAGACCCUAUGGAGCUUAAAGAUAUAAAGAUCAAGUAUGUAAAAAUUACAUGAAAUGGACACAAAACAUAGUAUUUACUGAUUUUCAUCUUCGGUUGGGGCGACCGUGGGGAAAACAAAACCCCCAUGUGGAAAAGGAAAAACCUAUAAUAUAAGAGGGACACCUCUAAGUCUCAGAAAAUCUGACCUAAAAGAUCCGGCUAAUUAGCUGAUUAACGGACCAAGUUACCCUAGGGAUAACAGCGCAAUCCCCUCCAAGAGCCCAUAUCGACGAGGGGGUUUACGACCUCGAUGUUGGAUCAGGACAUCCUAAUGGUGCAGCCGCUAUUAAGGGUUCGUUUGUUCAACGAUUAAAGUCCUACGUGAUCUGAGUUCAGACCGGAGAAAUCCAGGUCGGUUUCUAUCUGUAAAACUACACUUCCUAGUACGAAAGGACCGGAAGUGUGAAGCCAAUGUUAUAAGCACGCCUCACUUCAACUUAAUGAAGACAACUAAAUUAAAUAAAGAAAAGUAUUGAUUAUUCCAAGAUAAGGGCUUA